AAAAGCCCCUUCCCGGCGGUGACUCUUCUGUUUGGGGUGAACGGGGCGUUGGCCCUUCAAGGAGGCGGAGACUCAAACCCACUGCUUCAGAGUGAAGUAAGGUCGACCUGACUGCCCCCAGGAGCUCCUUGUGCAGCGAGCCCAUGGAUUUCCCUCCGAAUCCUGUGGAAGCCGCUGGGUCUCCGAGGACCAGGCCUUCUUUCUGAGGAGAGCAGCUGCUUGUCUUUAAAGCAGCUCAGCAGGGGAAGGACUAUUUGCAUUGGGCUUUGUUUAAUUUGCCCCGAGCCCAGCGCACUGAGUCCAUUUGCCGUCACAUUAUCUAAGACAGCUCCAGAGAUUCUCAUCCUAGGAUCAAUUCCAUUCCCGAGUGACAUCCACUUAACACCCAGGGCCCCGUGCUUUUAGCUGAAUAAAGGUCAGGCCAUCCGCCGUCUGGGUGGCCGCCCAUCAUCGCAACGGACAACAGGCCACUGGGGAAAGGUUAAUGGAUGCAAAGCUCCAGACUCACCUCCACAAGCAGGGCGUUCGCUUGGGAAACACCAUCUUGCCGGGGAUCAAGGCCGUCCUUUGCCAGAAAUCUCCGCUCUGAAGAUCUGCA